GAUGAACGCUGGCGGCGUGCCUAAUACAUGCAAGUCGAGCGAACAGACGAGGCGCUUGCUCCUCUGACGUUAGCGGCGGACGGGUGAGUAACACGUGGAUAACCUACCUAUAAGACUGGGAUAACUUCGGGAAACCGGAGCUAAUACCGGAUAAUAUAUUGAACCGCAUGGUUCAAUAGUGAAAGACGGCUUUGCUGUCACUUAUAGAUGGAUCCGCGCCGCAUUAGCUAGUUGGUAAGGUAACGGCUUACCAAGGCAACGAUGCGUAGCCGACCUGAGAGGGUGAUCGGCCACACUGGAACUGAGACACGGUCCAGACUCCUACGGGAGGCAGCAGUAGGGAAUCUUCCGCAAUGGGCGAAAGCCUGACGGAGCAACGCCGCGUGAGUGAUGAAGGUCUUCGGAUCGUAAAACUCUGUUAUUAGGGAAGAACAAAUGUGUAAGUAACUAUGCACGUCUUGACGGUACCUAAUCAGAAAGCCACGGCUAACUACGUG
rnacentral:rRNA from 1 species